UGGUGCUGUGAUGACUGGUCUGUGGCAGGAUGAUGUCUUUGCUGUAGUCAGCUGAUCCAGUGUCCGAGAGUCACAGAGAAGACUCAGCUGACAGUACACAGUACACAGGGUCGUGAUAGCUGUAAUAGGUUUUCAUCACACCAGAAUAGAGACAUCUCUGUUGUUGUGAGAUGAAGAUCAGGUCCAGCAGUGUGUUCUUCUCUGUGGUUGCAGCAGUGAUGAGUUCAACUCCACCAUCACUUCUGCUGGCCAUCUGAGGGAACUUUGUGUAGGACAGGUGUCUGUUGCAUUUGAACAUGUUGUAACCUUGUAGGUGGAGACUCUCAGCAACAAAGGAGCCCUGUAGAUGAUCCUCAUUCAUUAUCAUCAUCAUCAUCAUCAUCAGGGAGUGUGGGGUCACACAGCUCAGCCUCAUCUCUGAUACUUAUGUCCUCAUACUGUGGGUGAAUGUGUUUCAGUUUAUUCAGGGCCUGUAGCAGUUUAGACCAGGUGACAGUCUGGAACAGCUGAUGACCUCUGUAACACAAUCGUCUCUUCAGUUUGACUCUCAGGACUUGAGACUCACUUCUCAGUCUGGGUAACGCUUCAACUGUUUCCUGCACCUCAGAUGGGACACACACCACAUUACCACGUAUUGCUCUCUGUCUGCCUUUGGGAAGUGAGAUGAUCUUAGCAAAUGGAAAACACUUGGCGAUCAGAUGUCUCUCCAAAAUGUUGAGGUCACACAGCUCAGGUGGAAUAUCAACAAGCUCCAUGUUGUUGGCUACAGCCAGAGAGGGCAUGGCUCCUUUUUAAGAUGAUCAUGACAGGUGUGACAGAUCCAUUCAUCCUUUCUCUCAUCAGGAACUUUACACUGUUCAUUUCUGCAGCCGUCAUCACAAACAUGAACAUAUUUUCCUGUCAGACAUUCAGCAGCCACUUCUACAGUGCAGACGUAAGUGGGGUUUGUAUGUGAUCUGAAAACAGAUAUGGCCUCUUUGAUCAAACCGUGGUCACUUUCUGGGGUUUGUCUGUUUAUCCGUCUGUAUUUCCUCUUUAUUUUCAUGGCACAUCUCAUGCUGUGCAGAAUUUUAAAUGCAAGAUUGUUGUUAUAUCUGUCUCGCAUUAUUUGUUUCAUGAGUUGUCUGUGUUUUAU